UUCGACAAGAAACCGUUGAGCCUCCACGCACCGCCAAGACUGAUGUUCUUUUGUGGCAGCCUCCUGAGAGGAAAUAACGGGCUCGUGCUGCUGAGGUCUUGGAUGGUUCCCAAGUUUUCUCCAACUCUCCUAGCAAGUAAAUUACCUAGCAAGAUCCCAUUCAGGAUACCGCCAGGGCAUUUGCCAUCAUUUCUCCUUAGUCUCCUCCAGGCUGACGGUUCCUCAGUCUUUCUGGGUCUUUCACAUCCCUGACGCUUUUGAAAAUUCUAUACUGGUCAGAAUUCAGGAGGAAAGGCGCCUAAGUUCCUGGAAGGAUUGGAAAUCUCAGAUAAAUUUGGGUAUCUGAAGCCCUGAAGAUCUCU